rnacentral:miRNA from 1 species
CCCCUCUCUAAGGCCUGGGGUGGUGUCUGGACCCUGAACUAGGAGUCAGGAGACCUUUGUUGAUUU